UACGUAGGGGGCUAGCGGUGUCCGGAUUUAUUGGGCGUAAAGAGCGUGUAGGCGGCCAGGUAGGUCUGGUGUGAAAACUCGAGGCUUAACCUCGAGAUGUCAUCGGAAACCAUUUGGCUAGAGUCCGGAAGAGGAGAGUGGAAUUCCUGGUGUAGCGGUGAAAUGCGCAGAUAUCAGGAAGAACACCAAUGGCGAAAGCAGCUCUCUGGGACGGUACUGACGCUGAGACGCGAAAGCGUGGGGAGCGAACAGG
rnacentral:rRNA from 1 species